UUACCCUCAGGGGCUAGGCCUGGUCUGGACCACACUUUUCCUGGGCCCCACUUCCCCAAGCCUAUUCCUCCCACCCGGCCCAUUCCCCAGCACCACUGCCUCCCCUUCCGGCAGGGAUCUCCCAUCCAGAAGCACACAGGUUGGGGAAGGGGAGGAGGCUGCAGUCGCUCCCUUCCCCCCCAGCCCGGCCCGCCCUGCCGCUGGGCUCUCCAGCCAGCUCCCUCCCCUUUCCCAGACUAUUGCAACAGCCUCCUAACUGGUCCCUGGCCUCCAAGCCCCCUCCACCCACCACACACAAGCCACAGAUAUCUCUCAUCAUGCCUCUCUUCCCCAUGUCCUCCAGAAGGGAGCCCUGGACUUUUAGGGACAACUUCAACACCUUUCAAGACAGGCCCCUACUCCUUUUCUCCACUCCUUACUGUCCCUAACAAUGUCCCUCACUUCAGCCUGGUGGAGUCCUUUGUAUUCUCCAAACCCAUCUUGAGCUCUGCCACCUCAGUAGUCUUGCCCAGGCUGUGCC
rnacentral:lncRNA from 1 species